rnacentral:rRNA from 1 species
AAUGAACGUUGGCGGCGUGGAUUAGGCAUGCAAGUCGUGCGAGAAGGGUGUGAUGCUUGCAUUGAACCCGGAAAGCGGCGAAAGGGAGAGUAACGCGUAGAUACUACCCCCGGAUCCGGGAUAGCGGCGGGAAACUGCCGGUAAUACCGGAUAACGUCUCCGGACCAAAGGUGUGAUUCCGUCUGGGGAUGGGUCUGCGUCCUAUUAGCUUGUUGGUGGGGUAACGGCCUACCAAGGCAGCGAUGGGUAGCGGGUGUGAGAGCAUGGCCCGCCUCACUGGGACUGAGACACUGCCCAGACACCUACGGGUGGCUGCAGUCGAGAAUCUUCCGCAAUGGGCGCAAGCCUGACGGAGCGACGCCGCGUGCGGGAUGAAGGCCUUCGGGUUGUAAACCGCUGUCAGAGGGGAACAAAUCCAUGAGGGUUCUCUCUCAUGGUUGAGUGAUCCUCAGAGGAAGCGCAGGCUAAGUUCGUG